rnacentral:rRNA from 1 species
UACAGAGGGGGCAAGCGUUGUUCGGAAUUACUGGGCGUAAAGGGCGCGUAGGCGGCCCGCUAAGUCGAACGUGAAAUCCCCAGGCUCAACCUGGGAACUGCGUCCGAUACUGGCAGGCUUGAAUCCGGGAGAGGGAUGUGGAAUUCCAGGUGUAGCGGUGAAAUGCGUAGAUAUCUGGAGGAACACCGGUGGCGAAGGCGGGACUCUGGGCCGAUACUGACGCUGAGGAGCGAAAGCGUGGGGAGCAAACAGG